rnacentral:rRNA from 1 species
UACGAAGGGUGCUAGCGUUGUUCGGAAUCACUGGGCGUAAAGCGCGCGUAGGCGGCUUUUCAAGUCAGAGGUGAAAUCCCAGAGCUUAACUCUGGAACUGCCUUUGAAACUGUAAAGCUGGAGUGUCGGAGGGGAUAGCGGAAUUGCUAAUGUAGCGGUGAAAUGCGUAGAUAUUAGCAGGAACACCGGUGGCGAAGGCGGCUAUCUGGACGACAACUGACGCUGAGGCGCGAAAGCGUGGGGAUCAAACAGG